GAAUUGACGGGGACCCGCACAAGCGGUGGAGCAUGUGGUUUAAUUCGAAGCAACGCGAAGAACCUUACCAGGUCUUGACAUCCCGCUGACCGGUCCGUAACGGGGCCUUCCCUUCGGGGCAGCGGAGACAGGUGGUGCAUGGUUGUCGUCAGCUCGUGUCGUGAGAUGUUGGGUUAAGUCCCGCAACGAGCGCAACCCUUAUCCUUAGUAGCCAGCACGUAGAGGUGGGCACUCUGGGGAGACUGCCAGGGACAACUUGGGGGAAGGUGGGGAUGACGUCAAAUCAUCAUGCCCCUUAUGAUCUGGGCUACACACGUGCUACAAUGGCGGCCACAAAGGGAAGCGACCCUGUGAAGGUGAGCGAAUCCCAAAAAAGCCGUCCCAGUUCGGAUUGUAGUCUGCAACUCGACUACAUGAAGCCGGAAUCGCUAGUAAUCGCGAAUCAGCAUGUCGUGGUGAAUACGUUCCCGGGUCUUGUACACACCG
rnacentral:rRNA from 1 species